rnacentral:rRNA from 1 species
GUCCACACCGUAAACGAUGAUUACUAGAUUUUGGCCUUAUGGUCAGAGUCCAAGCGAAAGUGUUAAGUAAUCCACCUGGGGAGUACGUCCGCAAGGAUGAAACUCAAAGGAAUUGACGGGGCCCGCACAAGCGGUGGAGCAUGUGGUUUAAUUCGAUGAUACGCGAGGAACCUUACCUGGGCUUGAAAUUUAGUGACCGCUCCUGAAAGGGAGCUUUCCGCAAGGACACGAAACUAGGUGCUGCAUGGCUGUCGU